rnacentral:tRNA from 1 species
GGGGUUGUAGCUCAAUUGCAGAGCACUUGCCUUGCAAGUGUGAGGCACUGGGUUCAAUCCUCAGCACCA